rnacentral:rRNA from 1 species
UACGGGGGGGGCAAGCGUUGUUCGGAAUUACUGGGCGUAAAGGGCUCGUAGGUGGCCAACUAAGUCAGACGUGAAAUCCCUCGGCUUAACCGGGGAACUGCGUCUGAUACUGGAUGGCUUGAGUUUGGGAGAGGGAUGCGGAAUUCCAGGUGUAGCGGUGAAAUGCGUAGAUAUCUGGAGGAACACCGGUGGCGAAGGCGGCAUCCUGGACCGGCAUUGACGCUGAGACCCGAAAGCAUGGGGAUCAAACAGG